rnacentral:rRNA from 1 species
GACGAACGCUGGCGGCGUGCUUAACACAUGCAAGUCGAACGGAAAGGCCCUGCUUUUGUGGGGUGCUCGAGUGGCGAACGGGUGAGUAACACGUGAGUAACCUGCCCUUGACUUUGGGAUAACUUCAGGAAACUGGGGCUAAUAUCGGAUAGGAGCUCCUGCUGCAUGGUGGGGGUUGGAAAGUUUCGGCGGUUGGGGAUGGACUCGCGGCUUAUCAGCUUGUUGGUGAGGUAGUGGCUUACCAAGGCUUUGACGGGUAGCCGGCCUGAGAGGGUGACCGGCCACAUGGGGACUGAGAUACGGCCCAGACUCCUACGGGAGGCAGCAGUGGGGAAUAUUGCACAAUGGGCGGAAGCCUGAUGCGGCAACGCCGCGUGCGGGAUGACGGCCUUCGGGUUGUAAACCGCUUUCGCCUGUGACGAAGCGUGAGUGACGGUAAUGGGUAAAGAAGCACCGGCUAACUACGUG